UUGAACAGACACUCAAAACUUAAUUACUGCAAUUUGUUAAAUUUUAUUCACUUCCUUUAUCUUUUCAUUUCUUUGUGGUUUUAUUCAUGCUGAAUUGGAAAAGAAAUAGACCCAUGGUUUAAAUCACCCUGGUGUUUAAUUUCAUUUGUUUUAACCAAUCAAAUUAGGUGUGUUUUUAGAUCUUUUUGAAGAUAUAGCCCUAAAGUGGGUGGAAUAAGAAACAGAUCCAUGUAGCCAACCUCAACUUGUUUGGGUUAAGGCUUAGUGAGUUGAUGAUAAAUGCAUGUGAUUGAUGUGUGGAAAAAGGCUGCUGUAGUGCGCUGUAAUGGUAGUCAUGUUUCUUUAAAAUUUGUGAGCUUAUUCUGUUAAAAACUUUACUUGGCGUCAGAGCCAUGCUUUUAAUGCAUGCUGAAUUGGAAAAAUCAAUAAGCUUGUGACUUCAUUGAAUGGACUUGAUUUAUUUAUUUUGGGUCUCAUUAUCUGUUAUGGAUUGGAUCCCUAAAAAGUCAGAAAGAGAGGAAAGGGGAGAGAAAUAGAAGAAAGGGGAGAGAAAGAAAGGGGGGAAAUUGCAGAGUAGAGAGAACUAGAGAGAGAAAGAAAGAUCGAUUAAGAUUGAUAAUUCUUGGAGUGAUUUCCUUUAGUUACAAUGGCUGUUAUUUAUACAUCUUUAGAUCUCUAAAAUAACUGUUCUCGCCACUACACUCUCUAACUAAUUUGUAGCUAAGUUUACUAUUUUCUACUCUAUCCUUUUAUACAAUUUAAACCCUCAACACCUUCUAUUUAUUUCCUAACCCCUUUAUUCUUCUAUCAUAACAUUACCCACUUCUUGAAAUCAUUAUUGUCCUCAAGAAUGAAGAAAAUGUUUAAAAUUGAAAUGAAUUUUUGUUGCUUCUUUCCUCAGACUUAGUCAGAAGGAUGUGAAAAUCCCAUACAGCAGCUUUUGGUGGUCAGUUAAUCCCCAGAAUUUAGAACCCCAAAGGUUAACUUUCAGCACCUGCUUCAGCUGAAUUGACCCAUAAGGCUUGGCUGAAGAUGCUAAACUUUCUUCCUUUUCCUUUUCCAAAUUUCUCGUGCUUGUUCAUUCAAUAUCACAAUAGAAUUUGAUGUCAUAACCUUCUUCCUUUCUCUUUUUGCUAUUUCCCAUUUAUCUUCCAUAAAAAUUCUAGGAUGACAACCACUGUACUUAACAUCUUGGCUCCAAAAAUACUGCCACGUGUUUCCAACACCCACACCUUUUAUAACACCUUUAUCUUUCUUUUUUUCCAAGAAUAUUUCCAAGAAUUUCAGUGGCAAAAAACUCAGUUUUGGAACUGAAUUGUGCAAACAUUUCAGAUUCAACUAGUAUUAUCCUCAUUUCAGACUCUAGUUGCCCAUCAUCACCAUCUUAAUCAUUCUUCUCCUCAUUGAUCUCACUUACAUUAGACAUGUCAACAAAAAGCUCCUGCUCCACCUCAAUGGCUUUGUCUUUCUUCUUGGAAAUUGCACACUACAUCUUGUUCUUCAUUAGGCUUUUCAAAAAUUUGAUUUUCAUUAAUCAAGACUGCAAUCUUUUCCUUUGUCACUUGAAUUGAUUGCUCAAAACUUCCCCUUUUUUUUUCUAAAUUUUCUAUUUUCUGAAUCAAUUUUUUGAAUCUUUGCUCCAACUGCUUGUUCCAUUCUUUUAAUCUUCUAUCUAGAAUUUCUUGAACUCCAUUAAGAAAAAUUUAUGCCUAAUAUGGCACUAUGAUUCAAGAAUUUCAAGAAAACAAAGAAAAUCAAGAAGAGUAAUCUGAUUUUCAGGAAGUAAAAUGGUAAUUCAAGAGAGAAAUUUUCUGGAAAAAUCAAUAAAGUAGGAAGAUGAAGAAUGUGAAUAAAGGAAGGAACGAAAAUUUCAAGAAUUCUAAGAAACAAGUUCUUGAAAUGCUGGAAGUGAGGAAUUAAAGAAGAAAAGAUAAGGACUAGAAAACAAUAGAACAAGAAGAAUUUGGUUCAAGAGUUUAAGGAAGGAAGGGGUUCCAGUCUUCCAGAGGAAAGAAAGAAGUGUGAAAAUAAGGUUUUGCCAAGAAAAAGAAGAACAGAAGGAAGGAAAUGGAAGAAAUUUCUGCAAAUGAAAGGAAGAAAUUCUGGAAAAGAAAGAAGGAAAGAAUAGAGGAAGAAGGAGAAGAAUACUCAGGGACAGAAGAAGAAAGAUUCUGUCAAGAAGAAAGAAGAGAGGAGAAAGAACGGGAGAGAGAAAUUUUAGGAAGAAGAAAGAAUUAGAGGGAAGAAAGCAGAAUAGAAGAAGAAGAAAGACAGCAGGAGAAACCUGUAACUGGGGAGGACUGCUUCUGAUCUGUGCCUGAUUGCAACUACCAGAAAUUCAUUGGAAGUAAUGCCCAUCCUCGACAAAGCUCUGAUACCAAUUGGAUCCCUAACAAGUCAGAAAGAGAGGAAAGGGGAGAGAAAGAAAGGAGGGAAAUUGCAGGGUGGAGAGAAUUAGAGAGAGAGAGAGAGAGAAGAAAGAAAGAUUAAUUAAGAUUGAUAAUUCUUGGAGUGAUUUCCUUUAGUUACAAUGGCUGUUAUUUGUACAGCUUUAGAUCUCUAAAAAUAACUGUUCUUGCCACUACACUGUAACUAAUUCCUAGCUAAGUUUACUAUUUUCUACUCUAUCCUUUUAUACAAUUUAAACCCUCAACACCUUCUAUUUAUUUCCUAACCCCUUUAUUCUUCUAUCAUAACAUUAUCUUUGCCCAGUGAAUUUCAAUUAUUUAGUUUGACUUAGAUACAAGAGACUUUGUGGUUGUGAGUUGUGACACCUUAAAACAACUGUAGCUGAGUGGUAUAUAAUAUUGACUACAUGCAGUAAGGAAAAAAAGGUUUUGCCAGUUAUCUUGUGUGGGGACAGAUUCAUUUUGUGGUGACAUUGCUACUGAAUCCUUUUACCAUUGGAAAUUGUAGAUUGUGACUUCCAUUUGUCAAUGCAAAUAGUUGAUUUUGCAACCAAAAAAAAAAGUUCUCUGAUUCUGAGUAAUGAAGAUAUCUUCUUUAUUUUGUUAUGGCCUUUUUGAUUGCAAGG
rnacentral:lncRNA from 1 species